CACAGGAACAGGUUUCCCAGAGAAGUUGUGGAUUCCCGUCCCUGGAAGUGUUCAAGGCCAGGUUGGACAGGGCUUUGAUCAACCUGGUCUGCUGGAAGGUAUCCCUACCCUUGGAAGGGGCAUUUGAAGUAGAUGAUCUUUAAAGUCCCUUCCAACCCAAACUAUUCUGUGAUUCUUAGUGCUUAUAGGAUUUAAGCAAGAAUCCACUUAAACAGUGAGCUGACACCUUCUUGAAUGACUGUGUGCAAGAACAAAGAGAAACCAAUCCCCCAUUUUUCAAAAGGGUUGGACAUUCCUACUUCUCUUCUGUAGCUUUAAUUGCUCCUAUGGAUGUUUUAAUUCCAUCUUGAGUUUUGCAGUCUCAGUGAGUCUGUUCUGGUUUUUAAACUUGUCAUUUGCAUAGGGGAGUUUAUAGUAUGCUUAUUUUUUAUAUGUUUCUAUGUCUUAUUUCAUAGCUCUGAAUCUGAGUGUAGAGAGACAAGUGCACUCAGCUGAUCUGAAAUGGUCUUCACCUUAGAAAUAUUGUUCUUUUAAACCUUAGUGAUAUAUUUCAUGGUGGGGUACAGCAGAAUUUAAAUUGGUUGCUGCAAAAUCAGCUUAGGUUAUCUGGAUUUAUAUUUUUUAUUGGUGAAAAUAAUUUAGAGCUUGUGAAAGGUGGCAGAUUGACAACCUUGAAGUUAAUCUGAUUGUCCCAUUAUUUCCCAGCAUCUCUCAGCCUUUUAAAGACAUCUGCUCUUUUCUAAUCUCCCAUAACUCAGUUUCUCAGAUGACUGCUAAGUCUUCUGGGACAGUGAAAGCCACUUCUCUGGGUAUCCUUAGAUGAUGUUUAUCAGGCUUGUCUAAUUUGAAGAUGUCUAAUUUAUUUUGUUAGGUGCAACUUACUUCAUUACUCUGUUUCUGCUCUUGUCCCUGAGACCUUUUUUUCAUUGAUAUUAUGUGUAUGAACAGCCUCCUUUUUUUUUAAAGGGCCAGGUCAUCGGUUUAGAUACAUUAAUUACUGUAUAGAGAACACAGGUUCAAAAGAAAUAACAAGUAAUUAAGCUUAAAAUCAUCUGCUGAAUCUUUUUUCUUUAAUGUAUUUAUCAGUGUUUUCUUUGGGCCAUUCAAGAAGGUGCAGAGAAUGAUAUCUUGUUAUCCUGAGAUUCUCUUGUGCAGUUGAAUCUCAUUUUGCACGUAUUUCUUCCUUAUAUCUAUGUAUUCUUUUACACUUACUUUAGGAAACAGGAAAAGUUUACAGUAUUUUUUAUGAGUCCUUUUGUUGCUUAAAAGUCCACAGUGAAGGAUCACUGAUGUGGCUAGGAGGCUGGAGCACAUGGCCUGCAAGAAGAGGUUGGGAGAAAUGGGUUAGUUGAGCCUGGAGAAGAAGUGGUAGGUGACAUCUAAUUGCUCUCUUCCAGUAAAUAACAGGUGGCUUAGAAAAGACAAAGCUACUUUUCAGGGCAAAGUGAUGGGACUCACAGCAAAGGAUACAAAGAUGCAGCAAGGGAUACUCCAGUGGGACAUAAGGAAAAAACUAUUUCCCACAAAAAGAGCUGAGCACUGUGGCCAGUGGCCCAGAGAGAUCUUCAGAACCUGUCUGAGUGAGGCCCUGAGCAAGCUGAUCUAGGCAGGAAGCAGGGUCUGCUUUGAGGAGGGAGUUGGACUAGCUCACCUCCAGAGCAGAUUCAAACCUUGGUCUUUUUCUGAUUCUAGGAUAACUUCCUGGGUGAUGUCAGUGAUGUACAGACAACCACAGACCCCCCAAGAGUCUUUUGCUUAGUACACCUUCACCCACCCUCUGGCUACCCAGACAUGGAAGUACUGCAUUUAGCUAAUACGGAAGCACACGUACAUGUCUGACUCGAGUUAAAUGAGCCUGCAAUGGUCUAACAACACAGUUACUGGAUCCCCUGCUGACUAUGUUCAGCAGAUUAGUAUUGCUAGUGCUUUUCAUUUUCUGUAAUUCUAGUUAGUUCAGUGGAAUCUACCCAAAUGAGGUAGGAAUAACUUCAUUGUUAAUUCAACUGUAUCAUAAAUUAGAGGAUAAAAGAGUUGAAACUGCUGAUGAAGUUGUUAAUGUUAGAUUGCUGUAGCAGAAACAAGCCUCCCUCCACCUUGGCGUUUUGUACCACUAUGCCACACCAUUACUUAAUGAACACUACAGAAGGUACAAGGCUGUUGAAUUGUGUCCUGUGUUUCAAAAUGCUGUAUUCCUGGCUGAAAGCCACUGCAGUACAUGAGUAAUGUGAGGCAUCUACAGAUCUGAGUUGUUCCCAUUUCCAUUAAGUCAUACGUUCAGCUGUAAAUGUUACAUUGUCUCUGGAGGCAGAGGAUGAGUUGUACAUAAUGACUGUGAAUUUCAGAUAGAAAAGGGCAGAUCUGAGCAGUUUUAGAACAUUUUCAUUUCCUAAAAGAAAAAUAACAAAAUUAUAUUAGGGCAGGAUUAUCUGGUUACUGGACAGCACAGGAAAACCCAUGGUCCCUUUACCUUUGGCCAAGAGAUGGCCACCCCCCCAAAUAAGCCCCAGCCCAGUACUGUGCCCAGGCCUGAACUUUGACCAGGGGGGUAUGUUAAGACGGUGCUAAUUGGUAUGUGGCAAAAUCAGGGGGUGCAGGAGAUUCAGUUUCUCUGUUGUCUCAAAAAGGAAGUGACAAUAUGAAUGGAAUGAUACCUGUGAGACACUUGUCCUGGUGGGACUACAGUAUGUUCCAAGGAAGUUGGGAAGUUCCUCUCUAGGGAAGAAAUACUAGGGGAAGGUGUUGAUAGCAGGCAAGUGGUUUGCUUUGUUCUAGAUGGCUUAUGAGACCAUCUCAAAAAGAAAUGUUUUGUGAAGAGAAGUAAUGCGUGCAUGUGCUGAUGGGCUGCCAGUAUGUCCCACAGAAGGUCAUCCCAUCCCAUGGAGAUAUUUCUGAUGCUCUAGAACAUCUUAAAGACAGUCAGAGACAACAUUAAGCCAACUGAACUUUACUUCCCUCUGGUUGGACUUCAGUGUUUAACUGAAUGGCUUCUGGUAUUAGCCAAUCUUUUCUUUCUGAUAAAAAAGUUGUUUGAUGUUUUUUUUAAGCAAAGUCUUUUCAAGCAACACUGGAAAAAAAAGGUGAGAUAAAGAAAAACCUAGGAAAAGUGUGUCAAAUAACAAAAGCAGACAUCACAACUGAUGAACAAUUUAUUUGCUUCCUAUGGAGAAUCCAGUUAUUUUGCUUUUCACGUCCAAAUAGGAUUUGGAUCUACAUCCACUGUUUGAGAAAACUCACGUAAUACCUCACUCAAAACCCUCAAGUAAGAACUAACUCUUUAAUGUUUUCCUAUGACAAAUUGCAACAGAUCAUGGAAGUGACAUGCUUUGUUAAGAACUGAUGUCAUACAAAAGGAUUUGCCAGGUUAAAAUAAUACAAGACCUCUGAUCAUGCUAUUACAGAGACUGCUGUUCCCUUGGAGAAGAAAUAUGAGGGAUAAUGUAAUACAAAUGACGCGAGUGGGCUUGAAGAUCACCAAUGGAAAGACUGGCUCUGGCUCUGGACCUGCUCACUCCCUUAGGCCUGGAAGAUGUGUGCUACCAGCAACAAAUUGCUCUCACAUUAUGGCACAGCAACCGCCUCUGCAGACAAUGUUGAAGACAUGCCAGUUCUGGGCUUGGGAAUGAUGAUGAACUCUUGUGAGGACAGGAAGUACCAGAACAAACUGGUGAACAAAAUAUUGCUCCCUACAGGUGUGCACAUCUCUGAGGCAGUGCUGGUGCCUUCUGGCAUCCUUCAAUGUGACACCUAGUGCUGUGGCAUCCAGAGAAACCUGGAGAAGCCAUCACAUCCUCCAAAUGACACACGGAUCACACUGAAGUUGACAUCAACUCUUACCAAUUUCCACAAGGCCGCUUUCCACUUUCUGAAACAGCUGGGUCCCUAAACACUAAGUUAAAGGUUAUUUUUAUUUGAGUAAAAAGCAUGCUUCUGACUAGUGUUGAUAAAAUGGAUGGAGUUUUGUUUGAGUUUUUCUUUAAUUACUAUUGUCUCUGAAAAGGUGAAACUUCAAGUUAUUUCUCAGGUUCAAUGCAAAAUGUUACCUUGCUCAGGAAGGAGAACUGGCGCGUGAAGGGAAGGCAAGGUAUUUCCUAGGAACUGAAAUUUAAUUGUGUGAUUCUCUUUUAUGGAUGUUUGCCUUACUGAUAAGAGUGACAGAAAAUGAGAGUACAGAAGGAGUGACAUGCACGUGUUCUCUGUCUCAGAUGAAUUCAUUUUCUUGUAGCUGAUCCUCUGAAUUUGCUGCCUUUACCUAGCUUGGUAACAUCUUUGCAGGUUGGUUGAUGUUAACUUUCCUUUCUUUUCCUCUCCCCUUACCCUGCCCUGCUCUCCUCCCUCCAUUUCUACCUCACCACAAGGAAUCUGGUAGAUUUAUCCUUAGGCACCAGCAGAUGACUCAAUUAGAGAAGAUACCUAAAUGCUUAUCUUCCGGAUUGAAAGAACUUAAUUUAUUUGAAAUAUUUGACUACAAAGUAUUACAUUUUGACUAGCUGCUUGAAUCACAGAGGAUAAUCUCUUUAUGUUACUGAUGUUGGCUAAACUUUGCCAGUGUUGCCAUCUACUGAGCAAUGGUAUUCUUGACUUGGCAGAGUCUAUCAGGGAACCAGGGGCAGGACAGGUCUGUGGAGCUGGAGGUAAUGUACAGUGGCAGGCGGGUCUGUUUAAAAAAGGCUGUUUGCCCUUAGUGUGAACCUAACCUCCUUAAGAAGUUAAGGACAUUCCUAAGGAUUCUUUGGAGACAUUUUUUUUUAAUUAGAAACAGGGAGGUCCUAUCCUUUUACUAGUUUCUACUUACGUAGAGAAAAAUCUGGCCAAAUGUUUAAAAAACCUUUGGUGCUUUGCCCAUGUAGUUUAAGCUGGAUAUACCAGCUGUUUACUUUCAUGAAUUAAUGGGUAUCCUUAAGCUUUCACCAUUUGUUUAACAUCAUCAGCAUUAGAGGACAAAGGGAUGUAGGUAUUGAGAAACAAAAUGCUCCUUCAAUUUCUCUAUUACAUUAGAGCUAUUGUUAUAUGUCAUGUGGCAAAAUCUCAGAUCACUUGAAAAAGUGUCCUGAAGAGACAAUCUAUUUAUUGAAAUUAAUUUCAGUGACAGAGAUGAGAUGACCUUGUUAUAAAUCAGGACUGUCUACUCUCAGAUUCAUACAUUAGCUCUCUACUAUUGCCCUGAUCCAGCAGAUCGUAACUUUAAACCACACAAAGGCUGCAGCGUGUUUAUUUAUGGUCAUUAAGCUAAACACACACUUCAAAUACUUCAAUUUACUUGUUAAAGACAACUUUCCACUCUCAUUCCAGGUGGUACAUUGCACAGAACUUACUUAAAAACACAUGAAAUCAAGUACAGCUCUGCAGUUACAGAUGCCUGCUAGCUGAGGAGGGAGAGAAUACACCAACAGUUGUGAGUGCUCUUCCUCCUACCAGCACUUGCACUUUUGUAUUUAAAAGGAGUCUGUACUGGCCCAUGAUGGUGUCACUGACGAGACUCCUUGGGUAUGAUCCACAUGUACUCCAAAUCACUUGGAAAAAAACUGGGAAGGUGGAAAGGCAUAUUUAACUGAAUAGCUGCUCAGGGCAUGUAAAGUAUUGUAGGAGAAAGAGGUAUAAAGAAGAAAUUUUUGGUAGUCUUUCAAAUUUCCAAGUCAAACCUUUAUCGAAAGGUUUUAAUUUUCAAAAGUCAAACCUUUGACUUCUCAUCCAUCCUUGUUUGGCUUUGUUUACUGGCAGAAAAAUAAUGGUCUUCUCUGUCAAAAGAAGAUUUCAAGAGAAAUCAACAGCAUAAACUGGAACUUCUCCUUCAGGAGGCUGCAAUAACUUCUUGUUCUUUUCCUUCCAAAGAACUUGUAAGCUCUUCCAGGAACACAGUCAGCAGUUGUACUGGUGGAGACUGUUUCUGCCUCCUCCUUUGCCACCUUCACCAUGGUGGGUCCUCACCACUCGUACCCCAGUUUGCCUAGUUACAUUUAUGCUUUUCCCAUAAAGAAUUUACCAUGGGUACUCGGGGAAGCAUCCAGCUGUCACUUUCUGAGAGCUGGUGCAUGAAUUGUAGAUAGCUCCAGCUAGCAAUGAAUGGAUCAUGUCACCUGUCAGUGAAAUUCAUGUCAAGAAAUACAUGGACUCUUCAGGUCAUUUCCAAUGGGCAGGGACCUUUACAUUUAUUACUGCCAGUACAGAAAGAAGAGCAGAAAUGGCCUUGAGAUAAAGCUGUUAUUUAUACCCCAAGUCCUGCAGAAGAUGUCUAAGCAGUUGCACUCCAGCUUUUGGAAACCUUAUGGGUGUAAUGGUGGAAAGAAUACCAGAAUAGUCUGUUUCAGCCUUAGUCUUGAUUUGGGUCCAAGUUUAUC